rnacentral:rRNA from 1 species
AUUGAACGCUGGCGGAGUGCUUUACACAUGCAAGUCGAACGGUAGAGGGGGCAACCCCUCGAGAGUGGCGAACGGGUGAGUAAUAUAACGGAACGUGCCCAGUCGUGGGGGAUAACGUAGCGAAAGUUACGCUAAUACCGCAUACGAUCUAAGGAUGAAAGCGGGGGAUCGCAAGACCUCGCGCGAUUGGAGCGGCCGAUAUCAGAUUAGGUAGUUGGUGGGGUAAAGGCUAACCAAGCCAACGAUCUGUAGCUGGUCUGAGAGGACGACCAGCCACACUGGAACUGAGACACGGUCCAGACUCCUACGGGAGGCAGCAGUGGGGAAUUUUGGACAAUGGACGCAAGUCUGAUCCAGCCAUUCCGCGUGCAGGAUGAAGGCCCUCGGGUUGUAAACUGCUUUUGUACGGAACGAAAAGGUCUCUCUUAAUACGGGGGGCUCAUGACGGUACCGUAAGAAUAAGCACCGGCUAACUACGUGCCAGCCGCCGCGGUAA